rnacentral:rRNA from 1 species
UACGUAGGGUGCGAGCGUUGUCCGGAAUUACUGGGCGUAAAGAGCUCGUAGGUGGUUUGUCGCGUUGUUCGUGAAAACUCACAGCUUAACUGUGGGCGUGCGGGCGAUACGGGCAGACUUGAGUACUGCAGGGGAGACUGGAAUUCCUGGUGUAGCGGUGGAAUGCGCAGAUAUCAGGAAGAACACCCGUGGCUAAGGCGGCUCUCUAGUACGGUACUGACGCUGAGACGCGAAAGCGUGGGGAGCGAACAGG